GACGAACGCUGGCGGCGUGCUUAACACAUGCAAGUCGAACGGUAAGGCCCUUCGGGGUACACGAGUGGCGAACGGGUGAGUAACACGUGGGUGAUCUGCCCUGCACUUCGGGAUAAGCCUGGGAAACUGGGUCUAAUACCGGAUAGGACUCCGGACUGCAUGGUCUGGGGUGGAAAGCUUUUGCGGUGUGGGAUGGGCCCGCGGCCUAUCAGCUGGUUGGUGGGGGGAUGGCCUACCAAGGCGACGACGGGUAGCCGGCCUGAGAGGGUGACCGGCCACACUGGGACUGAGAUACGGCCCAGACUCCUACGGGAGGCAGCAGUGGGGAGUAUUGCACAAUGGGCGCAAGCCUGAUGCAGCGACGCCGCGUGAGGGAUGACGGCCUUCGGGUUGUAAACCUCUUUCAGCAUCGACGAAGCGAAAGUGACGGUAGGUGCAGAAGAAGGACCGGCCAACUACGUGCCAGCCGCCGCAGUAA
rnacentral:rRNA from 1 species